UACGGGAGGCAGCAGUGAGGAAUAUUGGUCAAUGGGCGAGAGCCUGAACCAGCCAAGUAGCGUGAAGGAUGACUGCCCUAUGGGUUGUAAACUUCUUUUAUAAAGGAAUAAAGUCGGGUAUGCAUACCCGUUUGCAUGUACUUUAUGAAUAAGGAUCGGCUAACUCCGUGCCAGCAGCCGCGGUAAUACGGAGGAUCCGAGCGUUAUCCGGAUUUAUUGGGUUUAAAGGGAGCGUAGAUGGAUGUUUAAGUCAGUUGUGAAAGUUUGCGGCUCAACCGUAAAAUUGCAGUUGAUACUGGAUAUCUUGAGUGCAGUUGAGGCAGGCGGAAUUCGUGGUGUAGCGGUGAAAUGCUUAGAUAUCACGAAGAACUCCGAUUGCGAAGGCAGCCUGCUAAGCUGCAACUGACAUUGAGGCUCGAAAGUGUGGGUAUCAAACAGGAUUAGAUACCCUGGUAGUCCACACGGUAAACGAUGAAUACUCGCUGUUUGCAAUAUACAGCAAGCGGCCAAGCGAAAGCGUUAAGUAUUCCACCUGGGGAGUACGCCGGCAACGG
rnacentral:rRNA from 1 species